rnacentral:tRNA from 1 species
GGGACCGUAGCUCAACGGUUAGAGCACUGCCUUGUCACGGCAGAGGUUGCGGGUUCGAAUCCCGUCGGUCUCG